ACGGCUCAGUAACACGUGGAUAACCUGCCCUAUGCUCUGGGAUAACCUCGGGAAACUGAGAAUAAUACCGGAUAGAUCACAACGCCUGGAACGGUGUGUGGUUGAAAGGUUACGGCAUAGGAUGGGUCUGCGGCGUAUCAGGUUGUAGGGGGUGUAAUGGACCCCCUAGCCAUCGACGCGUACGGGUGUUGGGAGACAUAGCCCGGAGACGGAUUCUGAGACACGAAUCCAGACCCCACGGGGUGCAGCAGGCGCGAAAACUUCACACUGCAGGAAACUGCGAUGAGGGAACUCCAAGUGACUACACAUUUGUGUAGCUCUUUUCUUAACUAUUAAUCGGUUUUGGAAUAAGGGCUGGGAAAGACCGGUGCCAGCCGCCGCGGUAAUACCGGCAGCUCGAGUGGUCGUCGCUUUUAUUGGGCCUAAAACGUCCGUAGCCUGUUUGGUAAAUCUGUGGGUAAAUCAACCAGCUUAACUGGUUGAAUUCUGCAGAGACUGCCAGACUAGGGACCGGGAGAGGUGUGGGGUACUCUAGGGGUAGGGGUAAAAUCCUGUCAUCCUUAGAGGACCACCAGUUGCGAAGGCGCCACACUAGAACGGAUCCGACGGUCAGGGACGAAGCCUAGGGGCACGAACCGGAUUAGAUACCCGGGUAGUCCUAGGUGUAAACGCUGUGAACUUGGUGUCGGGAGUCCGCAAUGGGCCCCCGGUGCCGGAGUGAAGAUGUUAAGUUCACUGCCUGGGGAGUACGGUCGCAAGGCUGAAACUUAAAGGAAUUGGCGGGGGAGCAC
rnacentral:rRNA from 1 species